GUAGAAAACAACAUCACCACAUUGAAGC
rnacentral:piRNA from 1 species